GCAGCGGCAAAAUCUGCUGCCGGAUUUGACAGUCCAGAAUUCAAUAGAGCGCACAACUGCACAGGCGGUUAUUAU
rnacentral:sRNA from 4 species